UGGGGAAUCUUCCGCAAUGGACGAAAGUCUGACGGAGCAACGCCGCGUGAACGAUGACGGCCUUCGGGUUGUAAAGUUCUGUUAUACGGGACGAAUGGUACGACGGUCAAUACCCGUCGUAAGUGACGGUACCGUAAGAGAAAGCCACGGCUAACUACGUGCCAGCAGCCGCGGUAAUACGUAGGUGGCAAGCGUUGUCCGGAAUUAUUGGGCGUAAAGGGCGCGCAGGCGGCGUCGUAAGUCGGUCUUAAAAGUGCGGGGCUUAACCCCGUGAGGGGACCGAAACUGCGAUGCUAGAGUAUCGGAGAGGAAAGCGGAAUUCCUAGUGUAGCGGUGAAAUGCGUAGAUAUUAGGAGGAACACCAGUGGCGAAAGCGGCUUUCUGGACGACAACUGACGCU
rnacentral:rRNA from 1 species